AGUGAACGCUGGCGGUAGGCCUAACACAUGCAAGUCGAACGGCAGCACAGUAAGAGCUUGCUCUUACGGGUGGCGAGUGGCGGACGGGUGAGGAAUACAUCGGAAUCUACUUUUUCGUGGGGGAUAACGUAGGGAAACUUCCGCUAAUACCGCAUACGACCUACGGGUGGAAGCAGGGGUUCUUCGGACCUUGCGCGAUUGAAUGAGCCUAUGUAGGAUUAGCUCGUUGGCGGGGUAAAGGCCCACCAAGGCGACGAUCCGUAGCUGGUCUGAGAGGAUGAUCAGCCACACUGGAACAGAGGCACGGUCCAGACUCCUACGGGAGGCAGCAGUGGGGAAUAUUGGACGAUGGACGCAAGCCUGAUCCAGCCAUACCGCGUGGGUGAAGAAGGCCUUCGGGUUGUAAAGCCCUUUUGUUGGGAAAGAAAAGCAGCAGGUUAAUACCCCGCUGUUCUGACGGUACCCAAAGAAUAAGCACCGGCUAACUUCGUG
rnacentral:rRNA from 1 species